rnacentral:misc_RNA from 1 species
GUGAAUCAUCGAAUCUUUGAACGCAAAUUGCACUUUCUGGUAUUCCUUAAAGUAUGCCUGUUUGAGGGUCAGUUAAAUAAAAAUCGGUGUGGUUGCUGCCUGUCGUGUUUACGCGUCGGCAUUGAGUUGUCUUACCUUCGGUUAAGUGACUUAAAAUUUUGCAUGAUUUUCGAACGUAUUUACAUCGCUUACGUACGUUUGAGAUAUCGAAUGCUUAUUAGGUUCUGUCAUUCCCAUGAUUCGCACCUAUAAUUUUUCAUUAAAUUACCUCAAAUCAGUUAACAAUACCCGCUGAACUU